GCGACUGCAGAGGAACAGCCAGUUGAACCUGAUGGCCCCCUUCCUGGCUCAGACAAUAACCAAGAAAAGAAAGUAAGAUUAUCUCCAGCCAAAAUGUCAACCAAGAAUUCUACAGAUCUAGUUGAAUAUGUUGACAAUGCCAUACCUGGAGCUCCCCCAGGAAAGGUGUACCACAGAGGGACAACUCCAGGCACUUGGAAAUAGAGUAACACACUGUUAACACAUGCACAUUGUCCAAAAUACCCAAGGAUGCCAGUGAUGAAGGUGGCAUUGCAAAGGCAAUGCAUAUUAAUUUGAGUUGUUUUCUAUUCCAUAUGUCAAAGCAGGAUUUGGUCUAAUGCUGUCAUUCAUGUUUUCAGGGCACUGGGGAUUUAGUGUCAGUCCUUCUACUACUUUGCUGUGUAACACCAGUCAGUUCCAUAAUGUCUCUGGGCUUUAGUUUUUUCAUUUGAAAAACAAAGAGGUUGGACUAGAAACUACUGCAGCUUUAAAAUAAUUCUGAUUUUAAUAAUCAUGACCACAGAAGAAAAAAAUAGCCAAAUGAAUGAAAUGAGUUCAUGUGAAGAGAAAAAUCUAAAUACACCUUGAACUUCG
rnacentral:lncRNA from 10 species